rnacentral:rRNA from 1 species
ACCUACGGGGGGCAGCAGUAGGGAAUAUUGGGAAUGGGCGCAAGCCUGACCCAGCAACGCCGCGUGAGUGAUGAAGGCCUUCGGGUUGUAAAACUCUUUUCACCGGGAAGAGGAAGGACGGUACCGGUGGAAUAAGUCUCGGCUAACUACGUGCCAGCAGCCGCGGUAACACGUAGGAGACAAGCGUUAUCCGGAUUUACUGGGUGUAAAGCGCGUGCAGGCGGUCUGGUAAGUUGGAUGUGAAAGCUCCUGGCUUAACUGGGAGAGGUCGUUCAAUACUGCUGGACUAGAGGAUGGCAGAGGGGAGUGGAAUUCCGAGUGUAGCGGUAAAAUGCAUAGAUAUUCGGAAGAACACCAGUGGCGAAGGCGGCUCUCUGGGCCAUUUCUGACGCUCAGACGCGAAAGCUAGGGUAGCAAACGGGAUUAGAUACCCCGGUAGU